rnacentral:lncRNA from 1 species
GCUUAUCUGUAGGUUUUAGUUGUCAAACUUCAUUCUAAUAGAAAAUUUAGUUUUAAUAAUCGGGUGCAUGAUAAAUAGUCAAAAGAGUGGAAUGUUUUUAAGACUGAUGGAAUUUAUUUAAGCUGGAAAAUUUAUUCUCUUUGACAUUCCUCUAUAAUCAGUGUUUUCUAUGACAGGUUUUGAAUGGCUGUGAUUGAAACAUUUAAGCAGGAAAGCAUUUCAGCGUAUGCUUUAUAAAGCAUUCCUAACAACAGACAGUAGUAGGAUUUACGAAAUAGACAUAUUUGUUUGGCAAGCCAAAUUAGUCCCUUGUCUCUCUCUGGACGUUGAAAUCAUUCACUUAUAUGUGUUAAGUAUUAAAGGUGAUGGGUACACAGAGGGUAACUUCUGAAUCGUGUUUUUUCACAUGCAGUCUGUGGCUUUUCAAGUCUUCUUUAGUUUCUGUUUGUCGGUGCUUGUCGGUGUAGAGCAUAAAGCUUUCUUUUGGUGGUUGUGAAUGUAAAUCUGAAAUUUACGUGUAAAAUCGUUCUUUGUGAUUCUUCUAGUGAUUGCAAGUGUAAAUAUUGAGUGAUACAGCUGUGACUAUCACUGAUUUCCAAACUUUAAUUAGAAAUUUCUUCAGUAUUUUAAUCUGAAUCUGCUUCUUGCUUUUUUCUUUCACCCCCUUGCUUAUACUGGUUAACUUUCAAAUGGAAAUACAGAUGAGUUUCCUUAACAUCACAUGCUUUACAACUC